CCCCCCCCCCCCCCAAAACUCCCAUAUUAGCCGGCGAUGUGUGUCUUACCACAGGCCCGCUGGGUCUCCACCGACGUCUCCGAGCUGGAAACAGUCAGACAAGAAGUUAAUAUUUCACGACCGGAGGAAGAGCUUCAUGUUGCAGCUGCAGACGGUAACAAGCACCUUGGAGGGAAUCUUUGGCGCCAGGAAGUAGAGCCGCCAUGUGCAGCGCAUCCGACUGCCCGACGCGCUUCCUGGAAGAAGCCCUCUGGACCGCGAUGAGGAUGAUGGGCGGCUGGAUGAGGG